AACGCACAUUGCGCCCCUUGGUAUUCCGAGGGGCAUGCCUGUUCGAGCGUCAUUACAACCCUCAAGCCCAGCUUGGUCUUGGGCCUCGCCACUAACCCGGCGGGCCCUAAAAUCAGUGGCGGUGCCGCCGUGGCCCUGAGCGCAGUAAAUCUCCUCGCUAUAGGGACCCGGUGGACGCUGGCCAGCAACCCCCAACUUUCUACGUUUGACCUCGGAUCAGGUAGGGAUACCCGCUGAACUUAA
rnacentral:misc_RNA from 1 species